AACUUUCAGCAACGGAUCUCUUGGCUCUCGCAUCGAUGAAGAACGCAGCGAAAUGCGAUAAGUAAUGUGAAUUGCAGAAUUCAGUGAAUCAUCGAAUCUUUGAACGCACCUUGCGCCCCUUGGCUAUUCUGAGGGGCAUGCCUGUUUGAGUAUCAUGAA
rnacentral:rRNA from 1 species